rnacentral:rRNA from 1 species
CCUACGGGAGGCAGCAGUGAGGAAUAUUGGUCAAUGGUCGUAAGACUGAACCAGCCAAGCAGCGUGCAGGAUGACGGUCCUAUGGGUUGUAAACUGCUUUUGUGCGGGGAUAAAAGGCGGCACGCGUCACGUUAUGACGGUACCGCAUGAAUAAGGACCGGCUAAGUCCGUGCCAGCAGCCGCGGUAAUACGGAAGGUACAGGCGUUAUCCGGAUUUAUUGGGUUUAAAGGGGGCGUAGGGGUAAUACAAAGUCAGAGGUAAAACCCGGGGGCUAAACCUCGCUCCGCCGUUGAAACUGGCGAUCUAGAGUGGGGGAGAGGUAAGCGGAAUGCGUGGUGUAGCGGUGAAAUGCAUAGAGAUCACGCAGAACACCGAUUGCGAAGGCAGCAUACUGGCGCCCAACUGACGCUGAGGCACGAAAGCGUGGGUAGCGAACAGGAUUAGAUACCCGAGUAGUC